rnacentral:rRNA from 1 species
UACGGAGGGUGCAAGCGUUAAUCGGAAUUACUGGGCGUAAAGCGUGCGCAGGCGGUUUGCUAAGACCGAUGUGAAAUCCCCGGGCUCAACCUGGGAACUGCAUUGGUGACUGGCAGGCUAGAGUAUGGCAGAGGGGGGUAGAAUUCCACGUGUAGCAGUGAAAUGCGUAGAGAUCGGAAAGAACACCAACGGCGAAAGCACUCUGCUGGGCCGACACUGACACUGAGAGACGAAAGCUAGGGGAGCGAAUGGG